UGGGUAGUAUCAGUUAUAACCUAAAAACUCAAAGAAUUUGGCGGUAUUUUAUUUCGUUUAGAGGAAUAUGUUUAUGAAUUGAUAAUCCACAAAUAUCUAACUUAGGUUUGUUAGUCAUUUUGUAUAUCUCCGUCAUCAGAAUUUUUUAUUAGAAAAUUUAUCUAAAUAUUAUAUUAUAAAAUGUCAGGUCAAGAUGCAGAUUAUAUUUAAGGUUAAAUGUAUUACAUUAAAUUUAUUUUUUGGAGAUUUAUUUGAAAAAUUAGAUUGAAAUUGGAUUUAAUAGUAAAUUUAAAUUAUUAAUUUAAAUUGAAGA
rnacentral:rRNA from 1 species